AGUGAACGCUGGCGGUAGGCCUAACACAUGCAAGUCGAACGGCAGCACAGUAAGAGCUUGCUCUUACGGGUGGCGAGUGGCGGACGGGUGAGGAAUACAUCGGAAUCUACUUUUUCGUGGGGGAUAACGUAGGGAAACUUACGCUAAUACCGCAUACGACCUACGGGUGAAAGCAGGGGAUCUUCGGACCUUGCGCGAUUGAAUUAGCCGAUGUCGGAUUAGCUAGUUGGCGGGGUAAAGGCCCACCAAGGCGACGAUCCGUAGCUGGUCUGAGAGGAUGAUCAGCCACACUGGAAGUGAGACACGGUCCAGACUCCUACGGGAGGCAGCAGUGGGGAAUAUUGGACAAUGGGCGCAAGCCUGAUCCAGCCAUACCGCGUGGGUGAAGAAGGCCUUCGGGUUGUAAAGCCCUUUUGUUGGGAAAGAAAAGCAGCAGGUUAAUACCCCGCUGUUCUGACGGUACCCAAAGAAUAAGCACCGGCUAACUUCGUG
rnacentral:rRNA from 1 species